UACGUAGGGUGCGAGCGUUGUCCGGAAUUAUUGGGCGUAAAGAGCUCGUAGGCGGUGUGUCACGUCGGCCGUGAAAACCUGCAGCUUAACUGUGGGCGUGCGGUCGAUACGGGCAUCACUGGAGUUCGGCAGGGGAGACUGGAAUUCCUGGUGUAGCGGUGAAAUGCGCAGAUAUCAGGAGGAACACCGGUGGCGAAGGCGGGUCUCUGGGCCGAUACUGACGCUGAGACGCGAAAGCUAGGGGAGCAAACGGG
rnacentral:rRNA from 1 species